UUUACUAAAAACCUAUUUUGUUUCACCUAAACCAUAACUCCGAAAUUCCUUAUUAAUUUUAUCCCCAAAUUUUACCCAUUAGAACCUCUAAAAUUUCCCCCUAAAAUCUGUAUCCCAAAAAUAUAUCUAAUUUUUUCCCCAAAUCAAAUCCCCAAAUCAAAAUCCUUCCACCAUUUUUUUGUCGCCAUACUGUUCCGUAAUCGCCAUACUGAUCCGUAAUCCUCAGCAUCUCUCUCACUGCAUUUCUUGCUUCUCUAAAUCUCCUUCUCUAAAUCUCCAUCCCUUUUAUUUUCGCCGAAAUCUAAUACGUCUAAGUUCAAAUCUGUUUUAGAAACUUCUAUUUUUUGUAUCUGUUUUAAAAAUGCAUUUCUUGCAUUUCUAUUAACGAGACACUUAGGCUUGGUAAUGUCGCCAGAUUUCUCCACAGAAAAGCUCUCAAAGAUGUUAGAUAUAAAGGUUAUGAUAUUCCAUGUGGGUGGAAAGUCGUGCUUCCAGUGAUUGCAGCAGUGCACUUGGAUCCCUGUCUUUUUGACCACCCUCAACUCUUCAAUCCAUGGCGAUGGCAGAUAAUACCACAAUCUGUUUGUUCUAGAUAUGGUUUGGCAAUUGGUGCGACAGUGGCUCCAUUUGUUCAAGUUCUUACAGUUGAACCAGAGGGACGCCUGAGUUUCCUGGGAGAACUGUCACAUUGGAGCCUGCUCCUGGGGAAAUCUGUACUCAGCCCUCGAUCUCGAUGAACAGAUCUCGCAGCUGAUGCAAUGUAAGCCACUUUCAGAGCAGCAGAAUUAAGCUAAUUUUAUGGUUCUAGCUAUCUUUAAUUAAUGCAUGACUAUGCAAUGCUUCCUUUACAGGCUAAGAAGUUAGCAUCACAAUAUCAAAAGGAAGCGGACAAAUGCAAUUUGGGUAUGGAGACGUGCAAAGAAGUAAGGGAGAAAGCUGAAGAAGCACUGUCAGCUCAAAUGAAAUUAACAGCAAUGUGGGAAAUAAGAGCUCGUCAGAAAGGGUGGAGAGAAAAGGUCGCCAAAUCUAAUGCAUUUCCUUAUUUCAUUUAAGUAACUUCAUUAUAAUGUCUUAUUUUAUUGAUAGUUUUAUAUUUAAUCUAGUUUUUAUUAUUUAUUUUAGUUUUGAUUCUAAAUUUUUAUUUUUAUUUUAAUAUUUAAGAUAACUUGAGUUCUAACUUUUGGAUUUUAAUUGUGUUAUUAAUUUAUUAUUUUAAAUUUUAAA